rnacentral:rRNA from 1 species
UGAGGAAUAUUGGUCAAUGGCCGAGAGGCUGAACCAGCCAAGUAGCGUGCAGGAUGACGGCCCUCCGGGUUGUAAACUGCUUUUAGUUGGGAAUAAAAGACGCCACGUGUGGCGUGUAUUGUAUGUACCAUCAGAAAAAGGACCGGCUAAUUCCGUGCCAGCAGCCGCGGUAAUACGGAAGGUCCGGGCGUUAUCCGGAUUUAUUGGGUUUAAAGGGAGCGCAGGCGGACUGGUAAGUCAGCUGUGAAAGUUCGGGGCUCAACCUUGAAAUUGCAGUUGAUACUGUCAGUCUUGAGUGCACGCAGGGGUGCUGGAAUUCAUGGUGUAGCGGUGAAAUGCUUAGAUAUCAUGAAGAACUCCGAUCGCGAAGGCAUGUGCCCGGAGUGCAACUGACGCUGAGGCUCGAAAGUGCGGGUAUCAAACA